rnacentral:rRNA from 1 species
CCGCCCGUCACAUCAUGAAAGCCGUUUGUACCCGGAAGUCGUUGUGCCAACCGCAAGGAAGCAGAUGCCGAAGGUAUGGAUGGUGAUUGGGAGUG